CCAGCGGUCCGGCCGGGAACUCAAAGGAGACUGCCAGUGAUAAACUGGAGGAAGGUGGGGAUGACGUCAAGUCAUCAUGGCCCUUACGACCAGGGCUACACACGUGCUACAAUGGCGCAUACAAAGAGAAGCAAUCUCGCGAGAGCUAGCGGACCUCAUAAAGUGCGUCGUAGUCCGGAUUGGAGUCUGCAACUCGACUCCAUGAAGUCGGAAUCGCUAGUAAUCGUGAAUCAGAAUGUCACGGUGAAUACGUUCCCGGGCCUUGUACACACCGCCCGUCACACCAUGGGAGUGGG
rnacentral:rRNA from 1 species